UGGAAAUUUUGGACUGAGAGCCUUAAAAAUCAAACAUAAAUAUCCAUGAAUUCACAAUAUUGUGGUUUGCAUGGAUGGUUCUUUCUUCCAACUGAAUUUUGUGAUAUAAAGCUUAUGUUUAUUGUAAUUAUCAUGGCUCUUAAAACCAUGAUUACCUCUGUCAAGUCACAUGUAUCUAUAUUAGGAGUUAAAGAUUGUUUGAUUAACAAACUUACUCGAAAAUGGACAGACAGUUUCAUCAAUAGAAUUAUAAGUCAGAGACUUGAAGUAAUGAACCAAAAAAGGUUGCUUCAAAUCUGUUGGAAAUGAUUGUUCAUCCUUUCCAACUAAGUGUUGGACCAUUUCAAUUUUCAGAUCUACCAGUCCAAGCCAGAUCCAGUGAUGGGUUUUCAAUUAUUUGAUAAACAAAUCAAGAUGAACCACUCGCCUACCCCUACACAUGCUUCCCAAUCUCAUCAACAAAGCUUUUCGACCAAUCCCAGGAGCAACUGUUACAAUAUUUGGUUAAAAUUCUGCUGGGUGGCUGGUGUGGUCCAUUCUACUUUUUCUUUGGUCCCAUGACUUGGCCAACUACCAUGUGGUUGAGAAGAAGUUUUAAAUUUACUUGGAAUCUUCAGUACUCACUCUCAUGUGUGCCCAUUUGUUUACUGACUGCCACUGCUGUUUAAAUAUGUGUGUGUUCUUGCAGUUCCUUUUGUACACUCAUAAGGUGUUUGUUGAAAUGCCCAAGAGACCACCAGCCGCGCUUUGGUAGGGGAUAGGAAGAGGGAGCCAUGUUGGAGAGGCAGGGCACAUGCUAGAUUCACCACCAAGAUGGAGGUUCUUGGCGUGUGCCCUUUUUCUCCAACUUGGAUUCUCUUCCUUUCAAAAACAACUUUGAAAGCAUCUCUCGCGCCUCUACAUCUAAUAAAGGCUCCAGUUUUUCCUUCCUGAUCAGCCUGCACUGGACUCUCUGACGGCUCUAGCAUUUGCAUAAGAUCCUUUGGAGUUCCAACGA